rnacentral:rRNA from 1 species
AACGAACGCUGGCGGCAUGCCUAACACAUGCAAGUCGAACGCCCCGGUUCGCCGGGGAGUGGCGCACGGGUGAGUAACGCGUGGGAACCUGCCCGGCAGUACGGGACAACCGCGGGAAACUGCGGCUGAUACCGUAUACGGCCUGAGGGCGAAAGAAUUUCGCUGUCGGAGGGGCCCGCGUCGGAUGAGGUAGUUGGUGGGGUAACGGCCUACCAAGCCUGCGAUCCGUAGCUGGUCUGAGAGGAUGAUCAGCCACACUGGGACUGGGACACGGCCCAGACUACUACGGGAGGCAGCAGUGGGGAAUAUUGGACAAUGGGCGCGAGCCUGAUCCAGCAAUGCCGCGUGAGUGAUGAAGGCCUUAGGGUUGUAAAGCUCUUUCGCCCGCGACGAUGAUGACGGUAGCGGGAGAAGAAGCCCCGGCUAACUCCGUGCCAGCAGCCGCGGUAACAC